AUCAACACCAUCACUUACCUCAUUUUCUUCCUCAUUCUCCCCAUCACAAUAACUCAUUGAAGCCCCAUUCCCACCACCAUUUCGAACCCUUCACCCGACCACUACCAUCACAAAUGCCCAUGUUAACUACCAUGCAACCGUCACGACCGCUAAUAAACAUCAACACCCAGGUUACGACGACUGUGGGUCUGUGUCCUGGCUCAAACCAGGCGAGUGUGUUACCGUCACGUCUCCUAACUUCCCUCAAGAUUACCCCAAGGAUUCCAGGUGUCUGUGGGUGUUCGAGGGAAUCGAGUCGGCGACCAAAAUCACGAGCUGUUGCAGGACCUUCCAUCUGCAACACAGCCGCAAUUGCAACCAAGAUAAGCUGAUCUUUGGCGACGGGGACGGACGCAAGGGAAAAUUCUGCGGGCGCAAGAGAGGCGGCCUCGCGUGGGAGAGCGAGACGGGAUGGCUCAGUCUGUUCUUCAGGUCCAACACUCGCGGCCAGAGACGUGGCUUCACCUGCAACGUCUGCG